rnacentral:rRNA from 1 species
AUGGCUCAGGAUGAACGCUGGCGGCGUGCUUAACACAUGCAAGUCGAACGAAGAUGCCGGAGUGCUUGCACUUUGGCAGACUGAGUGGCGGACGGGUGAGUAACGCGUGGGUAACCUGCCUUAUACAGGGGGAUAACAGUUGGAAACGACUGCUAAUACCGCAUAAGCGCACGGUAUCGCAUGAUACAGUGUGAAAAACUCCGGUGGUAUAAGAUGGACCCGCGUCUGAUUAGCUUGUUGGUGAGGUAACGGCCCACCAAGGCGACGAUCAGUAGCCGGCCUGAGAGGGUGAACGGCCACAUUGGGACUGAGACACGGCCCAAACUCCUACGGGAGGCAGCAGUGGGGAAUAUUGCACAAUGGGGGAAACCCUGAUGCAGCGACGCCGCGUGAGUGAUGAAGUAUUUCGGUAUGUAAAACUCUAUCAGCAGGGAAGAUAAUGACGGUACCUGACUAAGAAGCACCGGCUAAAUACGUG